rnacentral:tRNA from 3 species
GGUGGGUUGGCCGAGAGGUUAGGCACCGGUCUGCAAAACCGUUUACACCGGUUCGAAUCCGGUACUCACCU